rnacentral:lncRNA from 1 species
CCGCGAUUUACUGUUUCCUCGCGCCCAACAGAAAUGGGCGACCGCAAGUCUUACUCUCGCCGGCGUUACAAAGAAAGGAAGGAGGAGACCUGAACAGUACAUCCGGAGAAUCCAGCAAAGCAUACUACGGCAUGAACGUGCAAGUGGACAGAAUUAAAACACAUGCCAGAAACACUAAUGGAUUCUAAACAAGAUGCAGUUUCAUUUCCUGAGCCUAUACGUGAUGUUUUUAACUGUUCUCCAGUUAAUAUGUCUCCAUUUCCAGAAAUCUAACAGGAGAAUCUCUGACUGCUUAACAGAUCACCUAAGCUUGCGAUUUGUGCAAUCCUUUCUAGAGUAAGGGCUCCCCGGCUGCUCCCCGGCCACUGUGUACCCAAAGCAGCGGCUGAAAUAGCCCGGAGUCCAACAGCUCAGCGUCAAGCAGCUCGUGGUUUGUACUUACAUCAUUUUUUUUUUCAGAGCAAGAGUGAAAGUUUAUUAAAAAGCGUUAGAACAGUAAGGAAAGGAAAGGAGAGAAAAUAAGGAAAGUACAACUUGGAAGAGGGCCAAGCGGGCGACUUGAGAAAUCAAGUGCCUGUACUUACAUCAUUCUUAACCCUUUCGCUCCUGGAGGGGGCUCAGCGGGAUCAGGGGGCCCCUGAACUUCGGAACACGCAGGACCUGGGUGUGAGAGAAGAGUCCCAAAGCUUGGCGUGAGCAAUGCACUCGCGGAGGGAGAGAGCCCGGGGCUUGCGGGGGGCUCAUCACCCGCUCGUAGACAACGGGCCCCCGCAAUCCCUGCGGGCUCCGCCGCUGCUCUCACCGCUCAAAACGGCAGGUGCAAAAAGCAUUUGGGAGCCGCUUGCCAGCGCGCGGAGGUAAUGCGCUUCCUGUCCAUUUAUCUCAGGAAACCAGUGCAGCCUUCCCUUCGAAACAAAAUUAACCUCUCAUUAGCCAGCCACUCGCUCCCAAGAAGGCCUUAAAAGCUUUACCAGCUCGCUAAUGUAUUUAGGCUUUUCUUCCAGGCAAACGCAGCCGCCGGUCUUGACUGCCAUCGCCCAAGGGGUUCCUCUGGGCUCUCCCGCGAGCCAACAGCCGACCUCUCUCCAGCCUAGUCUGGGAAACUCCAGCCAACCCAGGAUCCCAUUUUGUAGUCCCGGGCAGACCCGAAACCCCUGAAAGAACUCCACUCCAGAAGACGCCAGAACAAGUUCCCACGAAUUUCAUGGGCGCCCUUCACAUGAAAACCUCAGCUCCCCUAUCCUCAAGGAACGGGGAAGGGCGCCGGGGAGGGACUUCGGUGGCCAGCUGUCCCUGGGUCGUGGGCGCUGUUUGCUCUGCGGAGCGCCAGCCCUGCACACAGCGGGUGCGGGAAGCGUUGAUGGGAGGCUGGAGGGCGGGGUGAGCGUAAACUAGGAUCUAGCCGGUUCCAGGCGUGGAGAAUCAAAUGUGGUCCUAGAUCUGUAAGUUGCGAAAAGGGGCUUUUGGGAGCGUCAGAGCUUUCUCACUCCGGUCCCCCGCCGCCUUGAGGCUGGCAGAUUUAUACCCCACAGGUGGAUGGAGACCUAAACAAAACAGUCCCGGCCGCUGCCUGCCGCUCGCCCCCCACGUCCCCCGGGCCCACCGCAAACUUCAACAAAAUAAACAACUCACCACAGGCA